rnacentral:misc_RNA from 1 species
GAUGAAGAACGUAGCGAAAUGCGAUAAGUAAUGUGAAUUGCAGAAUUCAGUGAAUCAUCGAAUCUUUGAACGCACAUUGCGCCCGCCAGUAUUCUGGCGAGCAUGCCUGUUCGAGCGUCAUUUCAACCAUCAAGCCCCAGGCUUGUGUUGGAGCCCUGCGGCUGCCGCAGCCUCCCAAAACCAGUGGCGGGCUCGCUAUCACACCGAGUGCAGUAGUUUACUCUUCGCUCAGGGCGUGUGGCGGGUGCUAGCCGUGAAACCCCCAACUUCUCAAGGUUGACCUCGGAUCAGGUAGGAAUACCCGCUCAACUUAAGCAUAUCAAUAAGCGGAGGA